rnacentral:lncRNA from 1 species
GGGGGAAAGAAAUGUUGUAAAAAUGGUAAAAUACAGUCACGUACCACAUAACAUUUUGGUCAACAGACUGCAUACAUCAGUGGCUCCACAAAAUUGUAAUACUGUAUUUUUACUGGACCUUUUCUAUGUUUAGAUAUGUUUAGGCAGACAAAGGUUUACCAUUGUGUUCCAACUGCCUAUAGUAUUCAGUAGAGUAACAUGCUGUACAGUCAUGUAGCCUAGGAGCCAUAGGCUAUACCAUAUAGCCUAGGUGUGUAGGAGGCUACACUAUCUAGGUUUGUAUAAGGACACUAUGAUAUGCACACAAUGAUGAAAUCACCUAAUGACUCAUUUCUCAGAACAUAUCCCGAUUGUUAAGUGAGGCAUGAUGAGAUAGAUAGAUAGAUAGAUAGAUAGAUAGAUAGAUAGAUAAUCAUAUACACAAACACACACAUAAAAUCUUCAGGUCCAAGCACAGCAUAUAUAAGCAAGAUGAAUGCAAAGAAAUUCAUAGCUAGACAUAUUGCAGUGAAACCACAGAACAUCAAAGACAGAGAAGACUUAAAAGCUCACAGGGGAAAGGGGCAGAUAACCUUCAAAAACACUACAUUUAGAUCAUCACCUGAGUUUUCAGGCAAAGCAACAGAAGCCAAAAGACUCUGGAAUAACAUCUCCAAAAUUCUAAAAGAAAACAACCAUCAUUCUAGAAUUGCGCUUCAGGCAAAUGUGUCUUUUAAGAAUGAGUGUGAAAUGAUGACACUUCCAUAUAAACAAAAACUGAGAGAUUUUUACCACCGAUAAAUUCCCACUAAAAGAAUACUAAAAAAAAAAAAAAAAAAAUAGCCCAGAAAAAAAAAUUUCGAGUGUAAGAAGAAUAGUUAGCAAGUAAGCUUACAAACUAGGAGAUAAAUCUAAAACAUUAUCUAUAUAAAAUAUUAAUAGUAACAAUCUGAUUUGUGAGAAUUUAAGAUGAGAUUGAAACUACUGACAACAUUGACAUUUAAGUAAUGGGGAAGUCAUUGACAUUAAAGUAUCAUAAAGUCCUUACAGUAUUUGGAAGGGGAAGUUAAGAUAUUUAUGGGCUUUCAAUUUUCCUUGAUACACACAAUAAAAUUUCAAGGGAGAGAUGAUAGAAAAGAGGUUUUAAAUUUUUGGAAUUUUAGAAUUUUUAGAAUCUUAAUAUUUGAAUUUGGAAUUUUAAAAUUCCAACAAGUAAAGGGAAAAGCAGAGUUUGAAAACAAAACAAAAACAAACAAAAAACCUCAAUUUAAAGAAAAGAAAGAAAAGAAGCAUGAAGAAAAAUGGAAUAAAUCUUAGAAACCAUAUAGUGUGAACAAAGCAAGUCUUAAAAUAUUAUUUAAGGCCAGGCACAGUGACUCGCACCUAUAAUCCCAGCACUUUGGGUGGCCAAGGCAGGCAGAUCACAAGGUCAGGAGUUCGAGACCAGCCUGACCAACAUGGUGAAACCUCGUCUCUACUAAAAAUACAAAAAUCAGCCAGGCAUGGUGGCAC